rnacentral:tRNA from 1 species
GCCUGGCUGGCUCAGUUGGUAGAGCAUGUGACUCUUGAUCUUGGGGUCAUGAGUUCAAGCCCCAUGUUGGGCA